AUGAUUAGUGGCGAACGGGUGAGUAACACGUGAGUAACCUGCCCCUGACUCUGGGAUAAGCCCGGGAAACCGGGUCUAAUACUGGAUAUGCACCGUGGACCGCAUGGUUCUUGGUGGAAAGAUUUAUUGGUCAGGGAUGGACUCGCGGCCUAUCAGCUUGUUGGUGAGGUAAUGGCUCACCAAGGCGACGACGGGUAGCCGGCCUGAGAGGGUGACCGGCCACACUGGGACUGAGACACGGCCCAGACUCCUACGGGAGGCAGCAGUGGGGAAUAUUGCACAAUGGGCGAAAGCCUGAUGCAGCGACGCCGCGUGAGGGAUGACGGCCUUCGGGUUGUAAACCUCUUUCAGUAGGGAAGAAGCGAAAGUGACGGUACCUGCAGAAGAAGCGCCGGCUAACUACGUGCCAGCAGCCGCGGUAAUACGUAGGGCGCAAGCGUUAUCCGGAAUUAUUGGGCGUAAAGAGCUCGUAGGCGGUUUGUCGCGUCUGCCGUGAAAGUCCGAGGCUCAACCUCGGAUCUGCGGUGGGUACGGGCAGACUAGAGUGAUGUAGGGGAGACUGGAAUUCCUGGUGUAGCGGUGAAAUGCGCAGAUAUCAGGAGGAACACCGAUGGCGAAGGCAGGUCUCUGGGCAUUAACUGACGCUGAGGAGCGAAAGCAUGGGGAGCGAACAGGAUUAGAUACCCUGGUAGUCCAUGCCGUAAACGUUGGGCACUAGGUGUGGGGGACAUUCCACGUUUUCCGCGCCGUAGCUAACGCAUUAAGUGCCCCGCCUGGGGAGUACGGCCGCAAGGCUAAAAC
rnacentral:rRNA from 1 species